UUCUUGUUGUAUUAUUGUUGUAUCCUUUCGAUUUAUCGAACGAAUUGAACGGAAAAAUACGAAAAAUUGCGUUGUUCUUCUUUGCUAAAAUAGGUAGUAACAUAGUAACUUCCAUACAUUGUGAAGAAUAAGUACACGGUAUAUAAUUUUUUACUGCAAGAUGAGACUUUUAAAUGCUCAUUAAGCAUAUUUAGAGUUUAUGUAAGUCAGCAUACACCCUAGAAGCUAUACGUUUAAGUUUUCUUUUUUAAUCUGCUAACUAUACCAAUGUAAAUCUGUUUUCAUACGUUUUCAUACAUUAUUUUACCAACUGAAUUUUUGUUUCCAUUAUGUGGAAACAGUAACACUGUUUCCGUGGAAAUAAUAUUGCAUUUUUUGAACUUAAUUCCUGUUUAGAUGAUUGCAUUCUUAAUGUGAUAACUUUUAUUUUUAA